rnacentral:rRNA from 1 species
GACGAACGCCGGGCGGCGUGCCUAAUACAUGCAAGUAGGACGCACAGUUUAUACCGUAGCUUGCUACACCAUAGACUGUGAGUUGCGAACGGGUGAGUAACGCGUAGGUAACCUACCUAUUAGAGGGGGAUAACUAUUGGAAACGAUAGCUAAUACCGCAUAACAGUAUGUAACACAUGUUAGAUGCUUGAAAGAUGCAAUUGCAUCGCUAGUAGAUGGACCUGCGUUGUAUUAGCUAGUAGGUAGGGUAAAGGCCUACCUAGGCAACGAUACAUAGCCGACCUGAGAGGGUGAUCGGCCACACUGGGACUGAGACACGGCCCAGACUCCUACGGGAGGCAGCAGUAGGGAAUCUUCGGCAAUGGGGGGAACCCUGACCGAGCAACGCCGCGUGAGUGAAGAAGGUUUUCGGAUCGUAAAGCUCUGUUGUUAAGGAAGAACGAGUGUGAGAAUGGAAAGUUCAUGCUGUGACGGUACUUAACCAGAAAGGGACGGCUAACUACGUGCCAGCAGCCGCGGUAAUACGUAGGUCCCGAGCGUUGUCCGGAUUUAUUGGGCGUAAAGCGAGCGCAGGCGGUUAGAAAAGUCUGAAGUGAAAGGCAGUGGCUCAACCAUUGUAGGCUUUGGAAACUGUUUAACUUGAGUGCAGAAGGGGAGAGUGGAAUUCCAUGUGUAGCGGUGAAAUGCGUAGAUAUAUGGAGGAACACCGGUGGCGAAAGCGGCUCUCUGGUCUGUAACUGACGCUGAGGCUCGAAAGCGUGGGGAGCGAACAGG